CUCCCCCGCCACCAGCUGCUCCUCACAAUAGCCCCACAUCCUUCCGGCAAACGGAAGUCGAGAGUGCCAACCAUGGCAGCACGCCGGAAAGCGGCGUGUAACUAAUCCGGGCGCUGUCGGCAUUGGCUAGUGCUUUCCUCUCCACCUCCCCCUGAAGUGUUCCCGCGCCUCCCGAGGGAGGAAAUUCUACGUCCCUGCGGCAGUGAGGCAAGGGCCGCGGAGAACCGAGCUUUUGGACCCGGAAUUAUUGUCAGAACUCUCGCCUUCAUGAAUAUGCAAAUGUAGGGCGGGGCGGUGGCGGCCGGGCCCGGAAGCGGCGCGGCUGAGUCACUUCGGCGGUGACGAUGAUAAGGCAGAACCUGGGGUGGGCGUCGGCGUUGUUGUAAUCUUUCGACGUUUAAGGAGUCUCACCCCGUUCGAUCUUCUUUCUUUCCGCCUUGUCUCCACCAUCAUGAUGGAGGAGAUAGACCGGUUCCAGGUGCCAGCCGUUCGGGCCGAGAUGCAGCCGCUGAUAUUCUGGAGGUUCGCCCUGUUUCAGUGCAGUCUGGAUCAGUCCAUGGCAGAAGGACUGGCCCCUGUGCUCUUUGCCGCGGCACCAUGGGCAGAGGUUUUCCCCCCUGCUCUGGAGUUGGAGGGAGCUGGGGCAGUGGCCGGGCAGGGGGUUGAGAGACAACGGCUCAGAUUUCUUGGUUAAGCAGGUUCAAGCAGUUGCAUCAGACACCCAUCACAUUCGAGGAAUGAAAAGGAACACGUUGCAUGGCUUUGUGGCUAGAUCAGUAACAGAAGAGUGACUGAAAAAGAGACAAUCAUGUGUCUAAAAAUUAUAGUCAAUUUAACAACAAAAGCCCUAUAUCAGCAUCAUAGUACUGUGUUUACACUAACCUUCUUCAGUUGUUUCUUGUUUCAAGAUUCAAGAAGACAUCUAGUGAUGCUAAAGAUCAAGGUCUUCAGCUGAUGGACUUUUCCCUGAGUUUCAUUUAUUUGAACUCUAAACCAAAAAUUAUUAGUUUUCCAAAAGAGAUGUAGUUGUACUUCAUGUAAUAUCUCAUGUGCUUUUGGUGUACCUUGUAGUUACCAAGGGCUGUGGUUUUACUUUGUGGUAAUUGGGAUCAUGUAGGUCUUUGGGAAUCAAGUUCAUCAAGCAAAAUUCCUUCAUUGAUAUUACUGUUUUCAAUUCAGAUUCUCAUCUUACAGGUAUCAUUGGCAAAAUUGAGCGAGCAAUGGUCCAAUCCUGCACAUCCUGCAAUGGGUCUCUCUAAAACAUACAAUCUACAAAGCCCAUACAGCUCACUCUGGUAUUUUCACCACACUUCCUGCAAAGGUAAAAAGUGUAAGUGCAAAUACACUAAUUUCCAAAAGCUCUGAAAGUGCUUUGGAGAUUCAAGUCUAAAUAUUUGGCCUGUACAGUCUUGCAGCCUUUAUCAGAGUAGACCUUGAAACAAUUUGAAAAUUGUAAAAAACAGGAAAAGCUAUUGACACCUGGAAGGAUGAAUCUGACUAGCAAGUGCUAGAAGGUCACAAACCAAGCUUGGCCCAGUUAGGUACCUGUCAAUUUGGUCGUUGAAUCUGCUUAUAUAGCAGACAUAACUGUCCUGGGGUGACUUUAUGAUACUGGUAUCCCAAAUCGCCUGGUUUAUGUUACAUAUUAAGUUCUGCACCUUUAAGACUGGCUCUGAGAGUGAAGGGGGGGGAAGAAGUGCACUGUUUGUGUUCAAAGAAAACACCACUCCCCCACAUCCUGCUCCUGGACUGUGUUGUCUGCAGCAUGGACAGACAGCAUGAUAGAGCUUCUCUUUUACGGUUAGUUAGUUUUAGCUAGCUGAGGCAGAGGAGUUCCCUGGACUUUUUUUCCUUUUUUUAUUGGAUCUGUUCAAACCUGCUCUGGACUGAAAAACAUCCAGCCAAACCCCGGGAGCUCAUGCCUGUGGCCCAGCAGGGCCUCGGCCUCUGCACUUUCCGGCACUGAAGGGACUGAUAAGAACCUGAGCGGGCCGAGGUACACCACAUGAAAAGGACUUUUCUUCCUUGAUUUGCCAUCUCAUCGAACAGCAAGAGGUUUUAUUGUUUAAUAUUAUUCAAUUUCUGUUAAAUAAACAGUUUUUUACCACUUCUCUCCAAGGGAAUUUUUUUGCCCUAAACUAGGACACAUAACCAAAUGUUUGGAUUAUUCACUUUUGAAAGAGGUCAAUAAUGCAACCUUGUUUCAUUAUUGAAUUUUUUUCCUGCACAUUCGGAGUCACUCCAGUUUAACUGAUUCCUUGCAAGAAUGAACAACAAGACUUGAUAGUAAUGCAUGAAGGAUUCGAUAGCAUGUGCCAGAGAAUGUCCCUAACCAUUCUAAGUCAGUGUCCAAGCAAGGUUCCAUCUGGUAAUCGACAAGUUACUAAAGGGACCUCUGAUGCUGUAUUUGUUCUCUUUCCUGCAAGGGCCCUGCAGGAGAUUACAAAUGCUGCCUUCCACCUUAAAACAAAAAGGGGGAGAUGUGGGAACUGACAAUGGUCAAGAGAUUUUUAGACUUCAGGCAUUAGCUUGAGCCUGUGUGAAACCAAGUCACAUAACGUUCUCAGACUGGCCUGAAAAAGUAUGGCCUGAGAAAUCAUAGGAAUCAAAACAGUCCUUGGAGAGGGAAAAAAACCUCUGCAGGUAUUUUUUGGAUCCUUGUUGUUUUUUUGCAAGGAAAGGUCAAAGGGUGGUGUUCCCAACUGUCCAAUGAUGAUGAUGUGUUAGUUUCAUGACCAAUGAGAGUUUUACCUUUCAGACCUUCUCGGAACUCUCUAUAAAAGAAGAUCUGGAAUAAUAAAACUUGCUCUCUUGUGCAACCCCUCUAGCGAGUCUGUGUUGUGCUUCUACCAUUCCUAAUAUAUUGCGACAGCUGAGGAGGUUGGAAUGACUUGAGUUUUGUUAUAUCUUUGACUCCUACCCCUGAGGCAAUCCCAGAUUAUUUUAUUUAGUAGAAUUUUCUACUGAAUGUAAUUUUCCCAUGGUGCCCAUUGAUCUUUUCCUCUUUCCCUGGGUACAGGUUCUGGGGAACCCCUGAAACUUGGUUGGUGGGAGGGAUAAGGGUGUUAAUCUGGGGCAUGUAUAUUUGUUUGGGUUGUGGUGAUAGCUGGAUCUGUAAGAUUACAGACUCCAAAAGGCAAGAUGGCCUAACUAUUGAGCCUUACAGUUUGUACAAAGAGUACAAUACAUUGCAAUAUCAAUAAGUAAUAAAGAAUCUUUAAUUGAACUCACCAUGCUAUUUUGGAGUCCAUCUUACAAGUCAACAAAUAUCAAAAAAUAUUUUAUAAAAUUGUCUAAUGUUUGAGAUGUUAUUAAUAAAUGAGUAAAGAAUAUAUAAAAUAACAGACCCCACCAAAGAAGAAUAUGGUGUCAAGAAAUACAAAGGAAAUCACAGAC